UUAUACAUGUAAGGCAAUUAUUUGAGAAAUAUAUAAAUUCAUAUUCAUUAUUACAUAUGGAAUUUGCAAAUCCAAAGAUGGUUUACAGAACGAUUCGUCACAUAACCCCAUAUACGCAAUAUACACAUAAGCAACUACUGCUAGUAUUCAACAUCCUUGCCAAUUCUUGAUCAUAUUCCAAACAUGACAUCCUCCACAAGAAGUAUUAGACACAGAGAUUCAUAUCAGAGUUUGCCUAAACUUUACAAUACACGUUACAUACAUUUUUUUUAUGGUAACUAGGAUGAAGUUUAACAUAAUGUGGCAAAGACAAAGUGUGAAAAAUUACGUAAUCUAUGGAACAGAAACAUUCCUCAUUGCUGAAGAAGAUCUAUGCAAACAGACAAAAUCUUCAAGAUUAGCACUGGACGAGUCAGCAACAGGAUAAGUCUUCAGGUGCUGGAUUAACUGAUCAGAUAGAAAUGAAGAGUCUUAUGAUCCUAGAGGUCUCUCAAGUAAAUGAUGUAGUUGAAUGUAACAAGCUGCAGAUAUGUAGCGAGUCAGUUAUUUCCAAUUCCUAUAAAUAUGUAAAUGUAGACCAUAAUCAAACGACCCUAAAAGCAAAGAGAAUUAUUCAUAUCUCUGUGUUAUAUUAUCUUGCAUGGUAUCAUUGUGAGCCACUUGACCAACGUCAAAGCAUCUAAAAUGUCUUCUUCCAGUUCUUCUGCUUCCAGUUCUCCUACUUCCUCAGACCUUUCUCACAACACCUUUCCUGUCUUCAAUCCUUCUUCAAUUGUCAAUAUCACCAAAUUGACAAGAAAUAAUUACCCUAUAUGGAAAGCACAGAUGCUUCCAUAUCUGAAAGGCCAAGAGGUGUUUGGCUAUGUUGAUGGAACCGUUACAGAACCUCCAGCUACUCUACCUUCUGCUGAUGGAACUUGUUCACCUAACCCACAGUAUGCCAUCUGGUCCAAACAAGAUAAUCUUAUCCUCAGUGCAAUCAAUUCAUCACUUUCGGAUGAUGUGCUUGCUCAAGUGUACCAUGCUCCAAAUUCUCAACGAGUUUGGCUGGCCCUUGAAAGCUGCUUUGCUUCCUAAUCUCGUGCUAAGGCAGUUCAGAUUCGCUUUCAGCUAGCUACUGCCCGCAAAGGUAACAUGACUGCUGCUGAAUAUUUCAUGUCCAUAAAGAAACUAACUGAUGAAUUAGCUAUUGCUGGACAAGCUAUGAAAUGAUAUGAAAUAAUUACCCAUGUUCUUGCUGGCUUGGGUUCCGAGUAUGAUUCACUUGCCACUAUGGUGUCCUCUGGUACCGAGAUCACGCUGGAGGAAUUGUACUCCCUUCUACUUACUGCUGAGGCACGAAUUGUCCAUACCAACCAGUCUCUUCCCAUUCUGAAUGCAAGUGCUAAUAUUGCCACAAAACCCCAACCUCAAAAUUACGGUGGCAGAGGCCGUAGUAGCUACUCCACCUUUAAUGGUUGGGGAAGGGGGCGCAAUAAAGGUGGGGGCCGUGGCUUCUACCAGACCAACAAUGGUUCCACUCAAGCAAACAACUCAACUUGGUGUCAGUUAUGCAAAAAAUCUGGUCAUACUGUUCACAAAUGCUUCCGCAGGUUUCACAUUCAUUUUAAACCUCCCUCUCAAAGAAACCCACAGGCCAUAUAGCUUCAAGCUCCCAGGGCAAUGAUCAGGAAUGGCAUCCCGAUUCAGGAGCCACACACCAUUUGACUGCUGAUAUCACAAACCUGAAUAUUAGCGCAGAUGAGUACAGUGGAAAUGACCAGAUUCAAGUGGGGAACGACACAGGUUUGAACAUUUCUCAUAUUGGCACCUCCAAAUUUCACGCACAUUCACAUUCUUUCCUUCUUGAUCAAAUUUUAGUUGUUCCUUCCAUUCAAAAGAACUUAAUUUCUGUUCAAAAGUUUGCAAAAGAUAACAAUGUCUUCUUUGAAUUUCAUGACUCAUACUUUCUCAUAAAGGACUACUCGGGGAGCAUCCAGCAUAAAGGUUACGUGCAAGAUGGUCUUUACUGCUUUUCUCAGCCUUUUCGACAUUACUCAGCAUCUGCCUUCGUUGCUACUCGUGUUUUGAUUUCAGCCUGGCGCAAUAGAUUAGGCCAUGCAUCUUUUCCUAUUGUUCAAUGUGUUCUUUCAGCAACUAAAAUUCCAGUUGUUAUGCAAAACAGACAUAUUGUUUGUCUUGAUUGUCAAUUGGCGAAAAGUCAUAAUUUACCAUUUUCUAAAUCUUCUUUUACAGCUUCCAAACCUUUGGAAUUAUUGUACUUGUUGGGAAAACACCUCCCAAACAUAGCCCAAAGAUCAAACAAAGUUAACAAUGUGAAAAUUUCCAAACCACUUCAAGAACAAGAAAAUGAGGAAGAAAUGAUUUCAAUGGAAUAUAUGAAGAUCAAUAUAUUUGGAUUACUUGAACAAGCCUCAAGUUAAUCCCCAAGAAAGAAAAUAACUUUGAAUUUAUACCCAAGAUGAACAACCUUCAAUCUUGUAAAAUUCUCUCCAAGUUUUCUCUCAAGUUUCUCUCUAAAAUCGGGUGCAAGGGUUGUGAUAUAUAAUGAAGAGGCAAAAAAAUUGGAAGUAUAUAUAUGUACCGGGGUGCCUAGGCAUCAGGUUUCUGCCGGGUUCACAAUCGGGGCGCCUAGGCGCCAUGUUUCUGCCGGGGAGGCAGAAACUGGGCGCCUGGGCGCCCGGUAGAACUAGCCCCCCUUCUUUUCUCACAAUUCUCUACCUCGUACAUCAUUUGAUAGACCUCAAAUUUUGGACGAACACAAGAAGAAGUAGCAAGCACCAAAAUAACUCAACUGCACCAUUCAAACCAUGGUUGCCUACGUAUCCAAAACUCGGGAUCAAGCCUCCGUAUUUCACCUCCACUUGGGGACCAUGUGCUGAUUUAUCUACGUAUGGAUCACACUAUUAUGUGUGCUUCCUUGACGAUUAUACAAAAUUUAUUUGGCCAUUUCCUUUAAAGCUAAAAUCUGAUGUUGAAUUUAUCUUCAUUCCUUUUCAAAAACUUGUAGAGCGUCACUUUAAUACUAAAAUAAAAUCAAUACAGACCGAUUGGGGCGGUGAAUAUCGACGCUUUAGUAAUUUUUUCAAAAAUAUAGGAAUCCAACAUCGAGUUGCAUGCCCCCACACACAUGAACAAAUGGGUUCAGUUGAACGACGUCAUCGACAAGUAGUUGAAAUGGGCCUAGCUUUAUUAGCACAUUCAAACUUACCAAAAUCGUUUUAGGAAGAUGUCUUUCUUACUGCAACUACAUAAUUAAUCGUCUUCCAACAAAACUUCUCAAUUGGAAAUCGCCAUUUGAAAAGGUUUGCAAUAAGAAACUUGUUUAUAAUUUCAUGCGUACAUUUGGAUGUGCUUGUUGGCCAAAUCUUAGACCUUAUAAUCAUCAUAAGUUUAAUUUUCGUUCUAAAACAUGCAUUUUUAUUGGUUAUAGUCUUUGUCAUCAUGGUUACAAAUGUCAGGAUUUGACAACUAGAAAGGUAUUUGUUUUAAGACACUCUUUCCAUUUAUCAACACCAAAAGUUCCCAAAAAGUGUUAGCAGAUACUUCCAUUUAUUUACCGACUAAUCUUCGCACACAUCAUUGCUCUCAACAUAUGUCAUUAACUCAUGCAGGUUCUCACCAUGGUCCAAGUCCUCCACUUGAAGUUGGGUUCACAGGAAAAUCAGAACACAUCAAAUGGGUCACUUGGCCAGUGCUCUCCCGUGAUGGAUGUCAAUUCUUCAUCUAUUGUUCCUGGUGACACCUCAACCUGUCAACCUCCAGCUCUUCAUCACAUGCUUACACAUUCCAAAACGAAUUCCUUGAAACCAAAACAUUUGGAUGAUGAUAUUAUUCGGUAUCCUAUACCGAAAGCUCUUGUGGCCAAUACAAGGCCACCUUUAUUAGAGCCUACAUGUUAUUCUGAGGCAUCCAAAUAUCCAAAAUGGAGACAAGCAAUGAAUGAAGAAUUUGAUGCUUUAAUUCGAAACCAAACAUGGACUCUUGUUCCACCAAAACCCGGAGUUAACUUAAUCAGUUGUAAAUGGGUCUAUCGAAUUAAACGGCAUGCAGAUGGUAGGAUAGAAAGAUUCAAGGCACAUUUAGUAGCUAAAGGCUAUAAUCAGCAAGAAGGAGUAGACUUUCAUGACACUUUUAGCCCUGUGGUAAAACCAACAACAAUCAGAUUUCUGCUAUCAGGUGCUAUCACUAAUCAUUGGUGCAUUAAACAGAUUGAUUUACAACAUGCAUUUUUACAUGGGAUUCUCGGUGAAGAUGUCUACAUGAGCUAGCCACCAGGAUAUAUGCAUUCAGAUUAUCCAAAUCAUCUGUGUAAGUUGAACAGAAGUUUAUAUGGCUUGCUCCAAGCCCCACGUGCAUGGGUUUCUAGAUUAACUGACAUGCUUACUUGCUUGGGAUUUGUUGGUUCAAAGGCUGAUUCAUCACUAUAUUUUCUUCAUCAAGAUGAUACACAUAUUUUUCCUCAUUUAUGUAGAUGAUAUAAUCAUCACCGGGACUGAUACAAAGCGUAUUGAUUGGGUUAUUCAAAUGCUAUCUCUUGAAUUUCCAGUUAAAGAUCUUGGCAACCUUUUAUAUUUUCUUGGAAUUGAAGCUCUUCGUACCAAUGAAGGCCUUUUUUCUCACACAGCGGAAGUAUAUAGUUGAACUAUUACGAAAAGCUACUCUUGAGAAUGCCAAGCCAUGUACAACACCGAUGGCUACAAAUUGUCAUCUCAAUAAGUUUGAUGGGGGCAGUGUUGACACGCUAAAAGUGCAGCCCAAAUCCAAUAGUCCAACGAAUGAAGCCCAACUGGGCAAUUCAGGAUAAAGGCCCAAAUAUGGUUACUAAUGAAUGCAGUGGAAGCCCACGAAUGCGGUAACACCAUCGCCCAAACUUGUAAGACACCCAAGAUCUGAGCGAAUGAAGUGUCUUGCAAUCGCCCAGGGUUAUGACCCUGUUUUCACCCAAACCUUCAAAUCACCCAGGAUCUUAGCAAACAUAAGAUGUUAUGGUUAUUCUAAAGUACACUUUUCGAAGCUGUUAUUAAGUAAUCUUAUCACGUUCCACGAUUCAAGGAUGUUCAUUUGAAGAAAGUUGAACGACAAAGAGUAGUGGCAGCAGUUAGAGAUGGCAGUUCCACGAUAAGUUGGCCACCAUGAAGAAAGUGGACAGUUAUAAAGCAAUUAAGCAGUUUCUAAGCGAUUGAUCACAAAGAGGUCAUCAAGGGAAUAUAAAAAGAAAAAAGAUAUAGAGCAAAAGGACCCUGAAUCAAACACUCUCAAACAGAGAAUAUGUAAUUUCAAUUUCUUAGUUUAGACUUAAACAUUUCUUUUCAGUACUCGUGUACUUGCGCCUCUUAGAGGCAUCCUGUUUAAGUUCCAAUUGUAAAGUCAUCGCCGAUAAAAUACCCCUUUUUGGGACUUUCUCUCAAGAGGUUUGUUCCUUACACAAUCGUCUGAUCCUUUUUUAAUUGUUAGCGACUACCCGCGCGAAACAAUUUGGCACGCCCAGUGAGACCUUGGUGUUUGGUGUUGAAGAUAUAAAAGGUGAAACAAUAUGCCUCACAAAUCCGAUAAGGAAGCAGCAAGUCAGGAAAGAGUCCAGUCUGUGAUCGAGCAAUAUGAGGAGCAGCAUAGCUCUCCACGAACAGAUGGACAGAAUCAGAGCAAUCAUAGUCGUUACGAACCAAUGACAGAGUUGAGUCCUCGAACCAUGCGUGCAUUACUCGGAGAACUCACACAAGAUGUCGUUGAACGGGUAAAUCUACGAAAUAUUCAUAAUAUGGAAAGAUUUACCUAAAAUGGGAAUGCACAUUAUGACAACAUGGCCAAACAACUGAAUACUUAAGUUAGUAGGUCAAAUUUGUCAACCAGUUGUGCCUCUUGCAAACCACUUUCAAACUAGGCCAAUUGUGGGACAUAAUUCCCAAUCUUAAGUUUAAAUCAAGGGGUAGAACAACAUUUUGAUCCCUCUACUUCAAACCAAGGGGGUGGUGUAAUACCAAAUUAGAAUAGUGGCAUUGGUACAUCUAACUUGGGGAUAACCUAAAUGUAAGGGAUAAUGUCCUAAAUAAUGGGCAGAAUACCCCACGUGUUAAUGAUGGAAUAAAUGUUCAGGCUAAUGGUAACAAUAGCUCAAAUCAUGGCAACUUUGUUUCCAACCAAGGACCAAACAUCAGGCCUCAAACAAAUCAACCGGUCAACCAACCUGUAGGAAUUCCAUAUGAUCCCAACGUCAUGUUGAGGAAUCAGAUUAUGAAAAUCGUACAGGACUAGAUGGCUUUUGGAGUACGUCCUAUUAUUAGGCGGACUUACACAAAGCCAUAUUCUGAUUGGGUAGACCAAGCAUAUCCAUAGCCUAGAGGGUAUAAAGUACCAGAAUUCUCACUAUUUACCAAUUUAGGAGAGGUGUCUACUCUAGAACACAUAAGGCGAUUCACACUACAAAGUGGUGACGUGACUGAUUACCAUAAAAUAAGGCUGUUCCCUAAUUCAUUAACAGGAGUAGCCUUCUCCUGAUUCAUCAAUUUGUCAACAAACUCUGUUCAAACAUGGCAACAAUUAGAGCAAUUGUUCCAUGCUCAGUUUUAUAAGACUGAGUCUGAAGUUACUUUGGCCGAUUUGGCGAAUCUACGUCUGAAGUUACUUUGGCCGAUUUGGCGAACCUACGUCAAAUGGCAAAUGAAUGGGCAGAAGAUUUCCUUCAAAGGUUCAAGACAGUAAGAAGUAAAUGUUUUGUACCUUUGCCCGAAAAGGAGUUUGUCAAAAUCGCUUAAGGUAGUCUAAACUUUGAUUUGAAGAAAAAGUUCCAAGACAAGAAAUUUCCUAAUCUUUUCCAAUUGAGCGCGAACGUGAUUAGGUAUGAACGAUUAAUAAGAAAAGAAGAACAAAUGAAAAGUUCUAGCAAGGGGACUUAUUAUAGAGACCCAAAUUUUGAUGAUCAUACCAUUAAUGAUGAGUGUUACGAUCAAACCGAAAUGUGUUUGGUCGAAUUAGUUAAAGGAGGCACGUAUACUUGUCCUAUAAUGGCUAAGCCUAGACCGUCGGGCAAGGAUGAGCCUAUAAAAGAUGAAAACAUAAAGGCUAGAAUGUUCUCGUUCAAUGUAACCAAAGCUAACCUUAUAUUUGAUAAAUUAUAUAAGGAUAAGCAGAUAAAGUUGAGUGAUAAGCAUAAAUUGCCAAGCCCUGAACAAGUUAAGGGUAAAAAAUUAUUGUAAGUGGCAUAAUGCAUGGUCACAUUUGACUAACAACUGUUUGAUUUUUCGCCAUGUGUUACAGGAUGCCAUUGCAUCAGGACGAAUUACGUUCGAGGAUAAGAGGAAGAUGACAGUGGAUGAAAAUCCUUUUCCACAACCACUUGGAGUGAACAUGGUGACGUCUGGUUUCAAAAACGAGUUGCCAAAAUUCAAGUUGGUUAUAGAUGAUGGAGAAGAAGACCCUGGACCACAUCCCAGUAUCUUUGAACGUAUUAAAGGAAAGGAGCCCAAAAAGGACGAAGACGUCCUAUGUACAAGAUGCAAAAAAGAAGUGAGUACAAAUGCAGAGAAACCAGGGAUAUGGCAGCUGGUUUUGUCCCAAACGCUCAGCCUGGCAGAGGACGAGGUGCAUCGUUCUAUAAGGGACCACCUUUUGAGAGGCAGUUCAAGCCAGUAAAUAAUGGGAGAACAUUCAGACCGUAACCUCGCCAACCAAAUGUAUGGCAUUCGUUCUAGUAUAAGGUUGGAAAGGCGAUACCUUUCAAUGAGAUAACUAGAACCCAACAAAUGCGUUUUCAACAGAACUAUGGGCGAAUGAUGAGACAACAACAGGGAAUGCUACAUCCUAAGGCACCUAGACUACUCAAGGUAGCCAAUCAAAAUAUUCUCAAAAACAGUGAAGAGACUGGUACAGGCGAACCUAUGGAAAAUUUGCCAGAGACUUCUUCUGGAAGGUCGAAGUUUGAGCGAGACAGAAGGGAUGAAGAAGAUCCUGAUCAGCCCCUUACUAUUCAGUUUGGUACGUUACCACCUGUCGUGGCUAAUAACUAUUUACUAGCCAAUGAGUUCAAGAAUAAAGAAAAGGAAGAUAACGAAGAGGAAGCAUGCAUGCUGGAAUAUGAGAAGGUCAAACUUCUAUAGAGGCCUACAAUGAUGAAGAAGAUGAUGGUAUGACAGACAUCGAAGAGGAAAUCAAUCUGGAAGCAGAAAGGAGAAGAAGUGGAGUAUCGUACAAUACUCUAUUGAAGCAACUAUAUCGAGAGGGAGUUCGUAAAGUAGACUUAUUGGAAGAACCAUCUGGGCGUUCUUUCUAUUAUAACGUGCUGUACAGGACGCCCAAAAGGAAGAAGAGAGUGCCUCGCUCUGAAAAGUAUAGAUCACCUCUAAGAAUAAUGCAUUCUCCCACAGGUUGGAUAACUGAAGAAGAAGCAUUAGAAAACAGUAAAAAGAAAAUUCAGGAGACAGAGGCUCAGUGCGAUAUGCUGCACGUUGACUUAUCACAAAAGGGUAACUCGACAGAGGAUAAGCAGAAAGUGAAAAUAGAUGCUGUCGAAAACAUUAUUUUUAAGCGACCAGCCAUGAAAUUGACCAAACACUUGAGGCCAUUAUACGUUAAAGCUCUAGUUAACGGCAUAUCUGUGGCAAAAGUGCUUGUCGAUAAUGGAGCAUCUAUAAACACCAUUUCAUCUAGGAUGAUGAGGAAAUUCGCAAAGACAGAAGGUGAUAUGAUCCCAAAGGAAGUCAUCCUGACAAGUUUCAUUGGAGGAGCAACUUCAGCUAAAGGGGUUAUGCCAUUGGACAUAACUAUAGGAACAACUACUAGGACCACAGUCUUCUUUGUAAUAGAUGGUCCCACUAGUUACAAUGUGUUAUUAGAAAGAGAUUGGAUACAUGGAAGCCACUGUAUACUCUCAUCGCUCCAUCAAUGCCUAGUUUUUUGGAAUGACAAGGGCGAAGUAGAGGUGGUGCAGGCCGAUCAUAGGCCUUUUGUCGUAGAAGCAAACUCAGUGGAAAGGUUCAUGCACGAAGAAAAUUAUGGACCUGUCAAAGUAGUCCAAGAUGGAAAAGAAACUCAGAUUGUCGCGCAGAGUGAAGAGCCGUUUUCAGUGGAUGCACUCACUAAAAUGUUCAGUCAAAUGAGGCUAAACAUAGCGGCCUUAAAGGAGCCAGUAAUUGGCAAAAGAAUAAUCAAGGAGUUUUAAAUGAGUUGUAAGCAACAAAGGCAGAUGGCCGAUAUUCAGGCCUUUAAAGCCAAAUUAAUGGCUUUCAAUAAAGAAUGCAAGGACAAGACGAAAGAAGAAGCAACCUAGAAAGCAUUGAGAGACAAAUUGGCAGUGUUCGAGUUGGAACAAAGUAUUGGCCGAUAAAUCAACAAGGUGGAUUGUUUAGAAGAAGAAGUGCCUACAAGGGAACUGGACGACGAAGUGAUAAGGAUCGCCAAACCUGGAUACGUUCAAGCACAAGACCCCCUGAUUAAAGUGAAUCUUGGCAAUGAUGGAGAAGAUCGCCCAACGUUCAUCAGCCAAAUGCUCGAUCAAGAGGGAAUUUUCUUGGCUUCUUAGUACACAAAAGAGGGAUUGAACUUGAUAAAAAUAAAGCGAAGGCCAUUCUAGAGGCCAAACCACCUAGCAACAAAAAAGAAUUGCAAAGAUUUGUAGUCCAAGUGCGAAUACUUCUUUCGCGAAGCGGCCUCAACGGCAAAGAGUUUAGAAAUGGAGGGCCUUGAGUACAAGGGAACAACUGGCCCACCGCCACUUGUUCGACGGCCUCGGCGUUGUUGAAUAAAGGACCUAGAUAGAACUCAUUGAGUUUGGCAUUGGUUGGUGCAAGGAAGUUCGGAGUUAUAUAUGGCCGAGUGAGGAUUUUCUGGAAGUCUUCGAAAUGGAAAGAGUCACCAGAUUGGGAUUGUGAAGCAGCCAUUGGAAACGAAAUAAAAUUUUGUUGAAGUUUGCUUGAGAAACGUAACAAAGAAACAAGAAGAUGAACAGUAAUAUUGCGAGAGAGAAGCGUGAAAUAAUGAGGCGUGAUUUAGUGGUGCGAUGAAAUGGCGUGUAUUUGGGGGUUAUAAGGGUUUGUAACGUCGCACCUUUUCAGGCUAUAGAAGAAAAUAAUGAUUGAAAUUCUUGGAAAUUUCAAAUGUUGCUGGGAAACACAAAAUGAAUAUGGCAAAAAUUAAUAAUUGGUAUUAAUUUUGCCAUAUUGGAGGUAAUUGUUGACACACUAAAAGUGCAGCCCAAAUCAAAUAGCCCAAAGAAUGAAGUCCAACUGGGCAAUUCAGGAUAAAGGCCCAAAUAGGGUUACUAAUGAAUGCAGUGGAAGCCCACGAAUGCGGUAAUACCGUCGCCCAAACUUGCAAGACUCCCAAGAUCUAAGCGAAUGAAGUGCCUUGCAAUCGCCCAAAGUUAUGACCCUAUUCUCGUCCAAAUCUUCGAAUCGCCCAGGAUCUUAGCAAACAUAAGAUGUUAUGGUUAUUCAAAAGUGCAGUUAUCGAAGCAGUUAUUAAAUAAUCUUAUCACGUUCCACGAUUCAAGGAUGUUCAGUUGAAGAAAAUUGACCGACAAAGAGUAGUGGCAGCAGUUAGAGACGGCAGUUCCACGAUAAGUUGGCCAUCAUGAAGAAAGUGGGCAGUUAUAAAGCAAUUAAGCAGUUUCUAAGCGGUUGAUCACGAAGAGAUCAUCAAGGGAAUAUAAAAAGAAGAAAAGACAUAGAGCAAAAGGACCCUAAAUCAAACACUCUCAAACAGAGAAUAUGUAAUUUCAAUUUCUUAGAUUAGACUUAAACAUUUCUUUUCAGUACUCGUGUGCUUGCACCCCUUGGAGGCAUUCUGUUUAAAUUUCAAUUGUAAAGUUAUCGCCAAUAAAACACCCCUUUUUUGGGACUUUGUCUCAAGAGGUUUGUUCCUUACACAAUCGUCUAAUCCCUUUUUAAUUGUUAGCGACUACCCGCGCGAAACAAGCAGACUUUGAAAAUCCAAUGUUAUAUCGCAGUAUAGUUGGUGGACUUCAAUACCUUGGAUUCACCCAACCAAAUAUUGCAUUUGCAGUCCAUCGAUUCAGCAAGUUUAUGCACUGUCCCAAAGAUACCCACUGGCAAGCUGUUAAACGUAUCCUGAGGUACCUUAAAUAUUCCGUAUCAGAUGGAUUAUUUCUCUCAGCCAAUUCUUCCAAUCGCCUUAAUGCUUUUUCAGAUGCGGAUUGGGCAUCUGAUUGUGAUGAUAGAUGAUCUGUUGGAGCAUAUUUGGUAUUCCAUGGGGAAAAUCUAAUUAGCUGGUCAUGCAAGCAACAACAGACGGUGGCAAAGAGUAGUACAGAAGCUGAAUAUAAGGCGUUAUCCACUGCUACGGCUAAGCUACAAUGGCUUUAAUCCCUUAGUCAGACCAUUCAUUUUUCUAUCUCUGGCUUUCCUCAAUUAUGGUGUGAUAAUAUAGGUGCAACUUAUCUCUCUGCUAAUCCAAUUUUUUAUGCACGAACCAAGCAUAUUGAAAUUGAUUUCCAUCAUGUUCGUGAACUAGUGCUGAAUAAACAAUUGCAAGUAUGUUUUAUCUCAUCCAAAGAUCAGUUAGCUGAUCUGUUAACAAAGCCUCUAAGCUCCACUCGAUUCAAGCUACUUAAAACCAAUCUCCAUGUUCAAGAACUUCCCAUGGGAUUGCGGGGGCGUGUUGAAGAAGAUCUAUGAAAACAGACAAAAUCUUCAAGAUCAGCAUUGGACGAGUCAGCAACAGGAUAGGUCAUCAGGUGUUGGAUUAACUGAUCAGAUAGAAAUGAAGAGUCUUAUGAUCCUAGGGGUCUCUCAAGUAAAUGAUGUAGUUGAAUGUAACAAGCUGCAGAUAUGUAGCGAGUCAGUUAUUUCCAAUUCCUAUAAAUAUGUAAAUGUACACCAUAAUCAAACCACCCCAAAAGCAAAGAGAAUUAUUCAUAUCUUUGUGUUAUAUUAGCUUACACUCAUAGAUUGCGGUUAGGGAGAAAGAUGAUUAUACAAUACUAAUUCAUACAUUAUUUUGAACAAACCAGCGAUACUAUUUUACAUUUUUGAAAAUAAUAUGUAACAUACAGUACGAAUUCAUACCUGGUAGAAGGUAGAUUACAGUUCCAACGAACGUUCACGGCCUUGCCACUAUGUGCUUGAGUGUUUGAUGAAUAUACAUUGAAUUACAAUUGUAGGAUGUAGAAUACUGCCUCAUUUUGAAAUCCCGUAACGAAAGCCAUGGAUUAAAU
rnacentral:lncRNA from 1 species